CUACCUUAUGUAUGUAACUGUAACCCCUCUCUAAGUCACCUUGAUAAUAAAAGAAAGAAGGAAAAAAAAGAAAGAAGAAAAAAAAGUAAAGAAAAAAGAAAGAACUAUAUUCUAGGAAGAAGACCCCAUAGGUGUUCCGAUAAUACAGUAACACAGGCUGGAUGGCUUAAAUAGCAGGAAGUUAUGUUGUUACCAGUCUGUAUAUGGGAGGUUCAAGAUGGAGGCCUGGUGUCUCCUGAGUCCCCCUUUGUACAUGGUAUACAGAUGGCCUUCCCCCUAUAUAGGCAUGCUCCUGAUAUCUCUUCCUCUUCUGUCAGGUUAUCAGAUUUAUUGGAUUGAGAUCUCACUCUUAGGCUUUCAUUUACACACUCAAUUCCUUUGAAGCUAUUGGGAGUUGGUGCUUAAAUGUGUCACAUUGUCAGGGAUAUGAUGGAGACCCUGGAUUAUCUCUAUUUCUUUGAUAUACCUGACAGAAUUUCCAUACUUACAUUUAUACAGAAACCAGAGAAAGCCAGGUGCAUUCACAGGCAGGGACGAUUGGGGAGGGGAAGAAGGGGACUGCAUGAGAUCCCUGACCUCCAUUUUCUUUCUCCAAGUGGCCAAUCAGGGAUUGUGUGCACAGAAUGAAUGUUGUAUAACAAAAUGGCCAGCAGAUGAUCGAUCUUCUGACCAAGAAGUCCAAAGUCUCAAAACCUUGAAAAACAUUGAAAGUUGUCAAGAUAGACACCAGGGCUAAGAUUAUAUAGAAGAAAGAGUUCUCCAGGGGCAGUGGGCCUCGUGGAACAGACUAUGUGGCUGCCUGAGAUGUAAGAUCUGAGUAACUCCCCUUUCAUGUUUCAGAGCAACUGGGCUGGGAGCUUGUUUUCAUAGAAUAUAUUGGGAAGAUAAAGUGGGUGAUUACAUAAACUGGCCCUUCUUUUUCCAACAUGUGUACUAAGAGUGAGUGAGACAGUGAUGAAUUAGUGGGGAUGAGGUUAGAAUAAUUUAAUCAAAAAGAGGUGGAAAUGGGGUCUUUAAUUCCUAACCUUUGGAGCUAAGGCUAAAAUCCAUUAAUAGAACACAGAUUAAGAAAUCCAAAGUAAAAUUACUCAGCAUUACCUCUAGUGAAUCAUUCUGGCAAUUGGGUCAGAAUUAACAUCUGAGAAGUCUUUGAACCUUUAUGGCUGGGAUUUUCCACUCCCCUGGCUUGGCUUUGUAGCAUCUUUUAGUGGAGGAGAUAGUAAAUCUUUGGCAGCCAUUCAAAACUCAUUGAAGCCACAGGGUAGGUCCUUGCAGCCAGCCUUUGAGGAUCUAAGGGGUCAGACGUGAAUAGCUUUUACUAUAGUUUUCAGUUUAAAAAAGUCUUUAGGGGGACAAUUGUAUCACAACAUACAAAUUGAUUUAGCAGGAUUUCCAAAUCCACAUGCAUUUCCAUCAGCAGUUGAUUUCAAACAUUUGAGGCCUUUCGUUAGAACUAUUGUUUUGUCAAGUGCAGUUUUACACCAAGAGAAAAUAAGCAAAACUGAUUCAGAAAAUUUUUUUUCUGUUUAAAUAUGAAUGUGGGGUCCCUUCAAUACUUUGAGUAGCUACUGAGGGUGUGAAUGCUAGAACCUUCCAAGACCAUGCACUGCAUACUUUUUCUAGACAAUAUAAUGUCCAUCCAGAGUGAGUAACCUGUCUAUAAGCCCUAGAAAAUAUAUGAAGGAAAAAUGAUCACAAAGUAGGAAGACACACUUUCCUUAAGUUUUGAAAAUGCUGGGUUGUUUUCAAAUGUAAAUGCAGAGGUUUUUCUAUCAGCAAGAACAUUGAAAACUGACUGUGUAAAGGAAGUUGCCCCAAAAGGCAUAUUUUCUUUU